rnacentral:rRNA from 1 species
AGUGAACGCUGGCGGUAGACCUAACACAUGCAAGUCGAACGGCAGCACAGUAAGAGCUUGCUCUUACGGGUGGCGAGUGGCGGACGGGUGGGGAAUACAUCGGAAUCUACUUUUUCGUGGGGGAUAACGUAGGGAAACUUACGCUAAUACCGCAUACGACCUACGGGUGAAUGCAGGGGAUCUUCGGACCUUGCGCGAUUGAAUGAGCCGAUGUCGGAUUAGCUAGUUGGCGGGGUAAAGGCCCACCAAGGCGACGAUCCGUAGCUGGUCUGAGAGGAUGAUCAGCCACACUGGAACUGAGACACGGUCCAGACUCCUACGGGAGGCAGCAGUGGGGAAUAUUGGACAAUGGGCGCAAGCCUGAUCCAGCCAUACCGCGUGGGUGAAGAAGGCCUUCGGGUUGUAAAGCCCUUUUGUUGGGAAAGAAAAGCAGCAGGUUAAUACCCCGCUGUUCUGACGGUACCCAAAGAAUAAGCACCGGCUAACUUCGUG